UGAAAUUAAUGAAAUAAAUACACGGGAUUAUACUUACUAUUGUAAAAUUACCGAAAGCUGACGCCAAAAUAAUAAAAAAGAAAAAUUUAAAUAAAAGUGAUAACAUACAAGAUGGUUAAAUUAUUUUAGUUCAAAGUAGGUUUUUUUUUAUAAAAUAAUUCUGGCAAAACAAACAAUUACAAUUGAUCUUCCCUUGAUACACCGGUAAAGGCAAUACAAAAUACGAGUCUUAACAUAACAUUAUACAUUUUUUUAAGUAUUGCGAUACUUCUUACGAAAAAGCUUAAUGGACCCAUGGAGUAAACAACAAUUAAAAUUUGGAAUCACUUUCAAUACAAGGAAGUUUGAAGAGAUACAUGUUGUACCUGAAUGUUAUUAAAUCCAUAGAAUUAAAAAUAUUCAUUAAAAAGACUACUGUCAUGUUUCUAUUAACAUUGCGCCAAGGAAUAAUAGCUUACAGCAUUGUUUUGCUACUUAGCGAAGCAAUACGCAUUAUAGAAAGUAGCUCCGUACUUUAUAUACAUGGUAACAGCGAGUCAGAUGAAAUAAGUCCAUCUUUUUUGGCGAAGUUGAAUAACAUUACAAUACCAAUAGGACGUGACAUAUCAUUCACCUGUGUUGUUGACAAUUUGGGCCAAUAUCGGGUGGCAUGGAUUAAAUCUGAUUCAAAAGCAAUACUUGGUAUACACACACACAUGGUCUCAUUAAAUCCAAGAUUUUCGGUGACACAUAACGGCCACAAUACGUGGAAACUUCACAUAUCACGCGUGCAGCUAAAUGACUCCGGCAGCUACAUGUGCCAAGUUAAUACUGAUCCUAUGAAGAGCCUCUCUGGAUACCUAGAUGUAGUUGUGCCACCAGAUAUUUUAAACCAACCAGAACAUAAUCCUCAGGAAGGUGUCAGCACCGAGGGUGGAAGUGUUUCGCUUGUAUGCAGCGCGACAGGUGUUCCAAAACCAAGGGUCCAAUGGAGACGUGAAGCGGGAAAGGAAAUUAUUCUUCGCGCAGAAAGCAGAGAUAAACAAGUUCUAAAGUCCGUGGAGGGAGAAAGACUUGUAUUGACUAAUGUACAUCGAACUGAUAUGGGUGGCUACAACUGCAUUGCAUCUAAUGGAAUACCACCGUCAGUUAGCAAACGAUUUGACGUUUACGUGAACUUUUCUCCAACAAUUAAAGCAAUUAAUCAGUUGGUUGGAGCACCCGUGGAAAGAGAAGUUACAUUGGAAUGUAUUGUGGAAGUUUAUCCCAAACCUCUUAAUGGCUGGUAUCGUAACGAAGAGAAUAUAAAACUACAUAAUGGGAACAAAUAUAAUAUUUCAGAGGAAAUGAUUAACUUGUAUACAUGGCACCUCAACCUUACUAUAAGACGUCUCACUAAAUCGGACUUCGGAACUUACAGUUGUUCAAGUGUUAAUGGGCAAGGCAAAAGUGAAGCACGCAUUAGAUUGCAAGAGUUACGAUUACCACCCAAACCGACCACCACACCUCUACCUCACGUGCACACAACUGUCAAACCGCAUCGGAAGCAGCCCCCUGGUCACAACAAGGGGCUGAACGAAGUAGUGCGUGCAAAGGAAACCCAUUUUUUAAAUCAAAUGCAACAGGAGAAUUCUAUACAUAGUGGUGGAAUCGGUGUGCUGCAGAGCGCAAGCAGUGAUAAUUCUGGUAGCGCAAGUCGUGCAAAUUAUGGUGCAGCUUUAGAAAGCGGAAACGUCAACGAUGGCAUGAUAAACGGAGCAGAAGUACAUACGGAUUUACCCCUGCGUAACGUAUAUCAAAUAACUUACAGGCCGCCUGGACCCAUACCAUCGCCUCAUACCCCUCAAAUAAUUAGAAAUGCAGGCUCACGGCUGCAUGCUUUGUCUACGAUCGCGUCAGUGGCGUUAGUGAUAUUUUUAUGGAAAUUAUUCUUGGAUACAAAAACAACAUUUUAAAAGUUUGGACCCAAUUAGCUCUCAAAGUAUUUAAAAAGUUUCAAGUAGAGCACAUCGAAGCUACAAAUCAGCAUGCGAAGCAACGGUUCAGUUUUGUAUUUGUUUUUGAAGGAUUUAAAUCUAGAAGCGACGCCAAUGCUAACAUACAAGUUUAAAAACUAAUCUAAAUUAACCACAUGGCUCUCAAGGACACAUGCUGGAAGCAUUUAUAUUAAUGUUAUAUAUUGAAUUCAUAUUUUAGUUUUGGACUUAAUAUAUUUAAACCAAUUUCUGAACGGUUUGAAAAUAAAUCCGCUUAUGUAUAUACAGAAGUAUUAAAAAAUAUUAUUUUUAUCAUCACAAUAACACUUCCAAAAUGCUUUACAAAUGCCACUUUGGUUUUCUAGUAAGAAUAAGUUUCCUUAUGCAACGGGUAUAAAAUCUCCGACACCAAUGUGCAUAAAGUUAUGCUUUCAUCAAGGGCAACGAAAGAAAUCAAUCAUCAUUAUUUUGGUAUAUGCCCUCUAUGAUUUUAAUUUUUAAUAGAUUUCUAUUUUGCAGUUUUGUGGUCGAAAAAACGAAAACUAGAAUUUUUUUGCAGGGCUUUUAUCAAACUACAAUUCUACACGUUUUUCCUUCAUUUAAAAAACGAAAGCAUGUAGCACAAAAUGUUUGGUAAUUACUUUUUUAUAGAUAAGCUGAAGUCUAAGGCCUGAAGAAUAAUACUGUUGUGCUAUUUACUAAGAAAAUAUUAUCACAAAUAUUUUUUUAGGGACACAUCACAAAUGAAAAAUUAAGGUGUCAAGUUGAUUGGUAUUACUUUUAAGCAUAAAUAAAAUUAUUCUAUACACAUUAAGAACCAUAACAUAUAUUAAAAUUUGGAGCUUGUUCGCUCAUAUUAUAUAUUCUACAGUAAUCAAAUACUAAUGCAAUGCAUAAAUGUCUUCCGAUAAAAUGCAAAUAUUUUAUGAUUAUCGUUAAGUAUAAACAUAAACAUGUUGAAAUAUAACAAUUUAAGCCUGAAUUACGUUUUCCUAACGCUAAAUUUUUGUAUUAAUAAAUAAAAAAAGAAACUUAUAAGCUCAGAAUCUGAUUGUAUUUAAAUGAUUUGUAUACCCUUGCAGAGGGUAUAAUAAAUGUCAAUCAAAAGAGUGCAACGCA